rnacentral:rRNA from 1 species
GAUGAACGCUAGCGGGAGGCUUAAUACAUGCAAGUCGAGCGGUAACUGACCGAUAGCAAUAUUGGUUAGCUAGAGCGGCGCACGGGUGAGUAACGCGUACAUAACCUACCCUAUACUGGGGGAUAGCCUUGGGAAACUGAGAUUAAUACCCCAUGGUAUUAUUUGGCCACCUGGUUGAAUAAUUAAAGUUGCGGCGGUAUAGGAUGGGUGUGCGUCGGAUUAGCUAGUUGGUGGGGUAACGGCCUACCAAGGCUUCGAUCCGUAGCUGGUCUGAGAGGACGAUCAGCCACACUGGGACUGAGACACGGCCCAGACUCCUACGGGAGGCAGCAGUGGGGAAUCUUGCGCAAUGGGCGAAAGCCUGACGCAGCCAUGCCGCGUGAAUGAUGAAGGCCUUAGGGUUGUAAAGUUCUUUUACCCGUGACGAUGAUGACGGUAACGGGGGAAUAAGCUCCGGCAAACUUUGUG